GGCGCGUAUCAACUAAAAUGGAAAUUAUACAACACAAACAACGAAUAGAACCAGUGUUAUUUUGGGUUCGAUAUCCGGAUACGCUAAAAGUCGGUCCUCACAGAAGCCCUCGUGCUCAAUGUUGUCGCCGCCGCUGUAGACAUCUCACCAAUAGAUAACACACAAGGUGUGCUUAUCCUAAAGCAAGAACAGUAGAAAUAAGCCCAAAUAAAAUUCACGAGAUUCAAAGAACUAUAGAGGUAAAAGCGUAUAGCACAGAACAAACACUUGCCUUUAUUUUAGUUAUUCCUUCGGUCUACCCUGAAAUGUACCAUUUAUUACAUUCCUAUUCCAUUCCCGAUAUAAAAA